ACGGCCGUACCAUGCUGAAUAUACCGACCGAAGUUAAGCAUCAUUGGGCGCGGUCAGUGCUUGGGUGGGUGACCACCUAGGAACACUGCGUGCCGUU